UAAAUCAUCCCUUCUAACAUUGAGUUUUAAAGUUUUCCUCUUAUUUGAAUUAAUCCUUACUUUCUCUUUCUAUGCAAAUAACUUCAAGUAAUCACAAAUCCCUGAAAGCAAAAAUGUAUGUUUGUUAGGAUAUGAUGACAUGACACAAAUGUUUCACACACAUAAAGACCGGUGACAACUGUCCUAGUCAGCACAACAAACUCACUAAAAAAGGAAAGCAAAGAGAAAGCUUGGUCAUUUUCUUUUUAAAAAAACUUUCCUCUCUCUUCACAAAACGAAAGAAUAAUAUGUUUUGAAAAUUAACAUCCAGAAACCCUAAACUGACCUCAAUCGACCGAAUCGAAACCGUUCCCAAACCUAAACCUAGAAUACAAAACCCAAUCAAAUCGCUCGAUUCAAGUAUGGAAAGGAGCGCACGAAGACUCUAAGCGUGGAUUGUCAGACAAAGUAUACAACGGACUUCAAACAAACAAGAUUGAAAUGAAAAGUUUUGAAGAUUCAAACAAAAAAAUGAAGUCCGACGCUUCAAAAGCAACAAAAACAACACAUAUAUGAGACUUAUGAACAACAAAGGUCAGAGGAAAAUACCUAGUCGGAUGUUCCCAAGGUAAAGAUCUCCACAGGUUUGAAAAAAGAAUGAAGAUGAAGCCAAGGUCAUGGAAUCCGAAUCAUUUGCAACAAUUUGAGCCCAAAUUUCCUCAUGAGGUAACCUUGCUCUCUUCUUGAAUGUCCUGUCUUGAAAUUAAGGGUCCAACAUUUGUGUUACUUUGAUAUGAUAAUGAAGCAUAUUUCUUUGGUUAUUAUGGCAUACUUGAAUUGAACCUCAUUUUUUGUAUAAUGCAUUGCCGCAUCAUAGCCUUGGAUUAAGUGUCUUUCUGACUUGCUUGUAAACUAAUUUUGAUCAUGCAUCUAUUGAUUGAACUGAAGUUGGAUUGUUCUGUUCUGGUUUGAAUUGCCAAAAUGAAAACACCAUGUUUAGACUUGCCUUGUAGAUUUGAACUGGAUGUCCAUAAUGCUUAUGUUUUAGCAGACUUGGUGCAUGACAUAACUUUCAAAAUGACACCUUUACUUGGCAUUUUUGGAUAUUUUACUUGGCUUGGCUCCACUAGUUUCACAGGUUUGAAUUCGUGAGCUGCAUAUCAGGACCGCUUCAAAUGGUGACUCCAACAGUGGAUGAACAUGCAGGAUCAUGAAUGGGAACAGAAUUUGAAACUUAUGUGCCAAGAAGGAAUUUUGAAUCAAUUUGGAAUUGCUUGAACUUGCACCUUUUGAUGGUUGGAGUUUAAGAACAAGUGGUAGUAACCGGUGAUCGUCCGAACCGUCCUUCAUCUAAACCUCAAGACUUGUGGUUUUGCACGAAUUGCCAUACAAACUGCUCGUAAUUUCCGCACUUCUUAUUUAAACUUGAGUUUUGUGGUUUAAUAUCGUAACUCUCUUAUUUUUUGUAUUAUGCAAAUUCAACUGUGCAAGACUUAUUGUUUGUGUCAAUUAUUAAAGCAUUGCUACUCAAA